rnacentral:rRNA from 1 species
CCUACGGGGGGCAGCAGUGGGGAAUCUUCCGCAAUGGGCGCAAGCCUGACGGAGCAACGCCGCGUGAGUGAAGAAGGUCUUCGGAUCGUAAAGCUCUGUUGACGGGGACGAACGUGCGGAGUGCGAAUAGCGCUUUGUAAUGACGGUACCUGUCGAGGAAGCCACGGCUAACUACGUGCCAGCAGCCGCGGUAAUACGUAGGUGGCGAGCGUUGUCCGGAAUCAUUGGGCGUAAAGGGAGCGCAGGCGGGCCGGUAAGUCUUACUUAAAAGUGCGGGGCUCAACCCCGUGAUGGGAGAGAAACUAUCGGUCUUGAGUACAGGAGAGGAAAGCGGAAUUCCCAGUGUAGCGGUGAAAUGCGUAGAUAUUGGGAAGAACACCAGUGGCGAAGGCGGCUUUCUGGACUGCAACUGACGCUGAGGCUCGAAAGCCAGGGGAGCGAACGGGAUUAGAUACCCGGGUAGUC